UUUCCGUAGGUGAACCUGCGGAAGGAUCAUUACGGAGUGAGGGCCCCUCGGGGUCCAACCUCCCACCCGUGUUUAACGAACCUUGUUGCUUCGGCGGGCCCGCCUCACGGCCGCCGGGGGGCAACUGCCCCCGGGCCCGCGCCCGACGAAGCCACCUGUGAACGCUGUCUGAAGUAUGCAGUCUGAGACAAUUAUUAAAUUAAUUAAAACUUUCAACAACGGAUCUCUUGGUUCCG
rnacentral:misc_RNA from 1 species